GGUAAUGUAGAGGGCAGGGAGCUGUACCUUUUGACAAGACUCAAUGAAUUCCUCAAUGGUCACCACGCCAUCCUUGUUUCUGUCCAUCUUCUGCAAGAAGUUCUCCACAUGUUCCCUUGGGGCCUCCUCCCGGAGUGCAGGGUAUGUGUACUUGCCCAUCAUGUCAUAGAUGGACUUCAUGAUGUCAAGCAUUUCCUGUUAGGCCAAGAGAGAAGAGGAUGCUUCCUCAGAGCCUCCAGCCUCCCUUGAUCCCUUGCUUGUGGGCAUAUAUGGGUCAUAUUUCCCUCCCAUCACCCUCUGCACACCACCCCCAUUAGUGCCACAGCCCCCCAGCCCUUCAGUUGCCCUGCACCUCCUUGGUGAUGCAGCCGUCCUUGUUGAGGUCAUACAAGUUGAAGGCCCAAUUAAGCCUGUCAUCUACAGUUCCCCGAAGAAUCACAGACAAACCAGCCACAAAGUCCUGGGAAGGAGGCAGGAGGGAGCUGUGUCUUCAGGUACUCUUCACCCAACCCCUUCCCUGGGUUUGGCCUGGAGAUCCUGGCCCUGAAGUCCAGGAAACAGGCUUCCCUGGCCCACCUCGCCCAGCUCACCUCAAAACUGACCGAGCCAUCAUGGUUGGUGUCAAAGGCAUUGAAGAGAAAAGUGGCAUAGGUGCUGGAGUCUGCAGGGUGAGUGUGGAGAAGUUGGCUUCCACACAGGAGAGGACUUCCUCCCUCUAUGGAGCUCCCCAUACCCCCCAUCACCUUGGCAUUCCCAGCCCCUCCAGAAUCCCUCCCUCCCUCAGCCUAGAGAAGGACAGCUGCUGCCCUUUGCGCCUUGUCCCCUCACCUCCUUGAGGAAAGAACUGGGAGUAAAUUUGCUUGAAGUUCUCCUCAUUGACAAUUCCGCUGGGACAUUCCUGGAAGGAGAGAGGGCACCAGGCUGAGGGCAGAGACAAAAUCCCCUUCUAUUCACCACCCCCACCCUCCAUGGCCCAAGACUCCCAGGGAGGGGGAUAAUCUUCAAGCCUCCAGAGGACUCACCACGUGGCUCAUGUGAUGGGAGGCAAGACUUCUUUCCCAGUGCACAAAUAAAAAACAUGGAACGAAA